rnacentral:rRNA from 1 species
CGCGGGAAAUCUUACCGGGUCCGGACACACUGAGGAUUGACAGGCAAUAUAUUAGCAUAAAGAUUCGUCUUUAGCGCUAAUUGUUAAAUAUGCUAGUCCUUUCAUGAUUAUGUGAUAGGUGGUGCAUGGCCGUUCUUAGUUCGUGGAGUGAUCUGUCUGCUUAAUUGCGUUUCACUAAGGGCCCAUAAAUUCAAGGUAUGUUAGCAAAUGCUGCUCUAUUGACCCCUAAUAGGCUUAACUGUCUUUAGCGCGUGUCUCUACGAGUUCUUUAAAGCACUGCGCAUGCUGUUGGGUCCUGAAAGCAACGAACGUGACCGCAACGUCUUGUUGCCUCUCUAUAAUACCUUCUUAUUUUUAAUAAGAGUAUUUACCUGAGGCUAUUUUAAAACUAGACGGACCGCUGUUUCUUUCUUAAACCAGAGGAAGGUUGCGGCAAUAACAGGUCUGUGAUGCCCUUAGAUGUUC